rnacentral:rRNA from 1 species
AACGGCGAGUGAAGCGGCAAGAGCUCAAAUUUGAAAGCUGGCUCCUUCGGAGUCCGCAUUGUAAUUUGCAGAGGAUGCUUUGGGUGCGGCCCCCGUCUAAGUGCCCUGGAACGGGCCGUCAGAGAGGGUGAGAAUCCCGUCUUGGGCGGGGUGUCCGUGCCCGUGUAAAGCUCCUUCGACGAGUCGAGUUGUUUGGGAAUGCAGCUCUAAAUGGGUGGUAAAUUUCAUCUAAAGCUAAAUACUGGCCGGAGACCGAUAGCGCACAAGUAGAGUGAUCGAAAGAUGAAAAGCACUUUGAAAAGAGAGUUAAACAGCACGUGAAAUUGUUGAAAGGGAAGCGCUUGCGACCAGACUCGCCCGCGGGGUUCAGCCGGCAUUCGUGCCGGUGUACUUCCCCGUGGGCGGGCCAGCGUCGGUUUGGGCGGCCGGUCAAAGGCCCCUGGAAUGUAGUACCCUCCGGGGUACCUUAUAGCCAGGGGUGCAAUGCGGCCAGCCUGGACCGAGGAACGCGCUUCGGCACGGACGCUGGCAUAAUGGUCGUAAACGACCCGUCUUGAAACACGGACCAAGGAGUCUAACAUCUACGCGAGUGUUCGGGUGUCAAACCCGUGCGCGCAGUGAAAGCGAACGGAGGUGGGAGCCCCCUCGCGGGGCGCACCAUCGACCGAUCCUGAUGUCUUCGGAUGGAUUUGAGUAAGAGCGUAAAUGUGGGGACCCGAAAGAUGGUGAACUAUGCCUGAAUAGGGCGAAGCCAGAGGAAACUCUGGUGGAGCUCGCAGCGGUUCUGACGUGCAAAUCGAUCGUCAAAUUUGGGUAUAGGGGCGAAAGACUAAUCGAACCAUCUAGUAGCU